rnacentral:rRNA from 1 species
UCAGAACGAACGCUGGUGGCGUGUCUAUACAUGCAAGUCGAGCGGUCCGCAAGGAUAGCGGCGAACGGGUGAGUAACGCGUAAGCAAUCUGCCCCGCAUAUUCGGGAUAGCCGUGCCAACGCGCGGAUAAUACCGAAUAACGUGGCCCCGGACAUCCGGGGUUGACGAAAGAUUCAUCGAUGCGGGAUGAGCUUGCGUCCGAUUAGCUAGUUGGCGGGGCAACGGCCCACCAAGGCGACGAUCGGUAGCCGGCCUGAGAGGGUGAUCGGCCACAUUGGGACUGAGAUACGGCCCAGACUCCUACGGGAGGCAGCAGUAGGGAAUAUUGCACAAUGGGGGAAACCCUGAUGCAGCAACGCCACGUGUGGGAAGAAGCAUUUCGGUGUGUAAACCACUGUCGUGAGGGAAUAAUACGCGUCUUCGGGCGCGGGAGAAUGUACCUCGAAAGGAAGCACCGGCAAACUUCGUGCCAGCAGCAGC